rnacentral:rRNA from 1 species
GACGAACGCUGGCGGCGUGCUUAACACAUGCAAGUCGAACGGAAAGGCCCCUUCGGGGGUACUCGAGUGGCGAACAGGUGAGUAACACGUGGGUAACCUGCCCUUGACUUCGGGAUAACUUCAGGAAACUGGGGCUAAUACCGGAUAGGAAUCCUUGCUGCAUGGUGGGGGUUGGAAAGCUUCGGCGGUUUUGGAUGGACUCGCGGCUUAUCAGCUUGUUGGUGGGGUAGUGGCUUACCAAGGCUUUGACGGGUAGCCGGCCUGAGAGGGCGACCGGCCACAUUGGGACUGAGAUACGGCCCAGACUCCUACGGGAGGCAGCAGUGGGGAAUAUUGCACAAUGGGCGGAAGCCUGAUGCAGCAACGCCGCGUGCGGGAUGACGGCCUUCGGGUUGUAAACCGCUUUCAGCAGGGGCGAAGCUUGUGGUGACGGUACCUGCAGAAGAAGCACCGGCUAACUACGUG